CCCUGGUUGGCUCAGUUGGUAGAGCGCACCACUGGAAAUGGAAGGUCCCGGGUUCGAUACCCAUACCAGGCG
rnacentral:tRNA from 1 species